UUUAGUUUUUGAGGUCUAUUUUUGUGACAAAAACUUAAAAAGAUCUAAUUUAGAGAAUUGCCCUAAUAUAUUUUCUUAAAUCAUUUUUCUAAAGAAAAUAAUAAUCACAAUUUUCAUUAAUGAAAAUGAAAUUAAGAUUAUGAUUUGCGCUGAGGUAUAACGUUAUUUGGGCUCAAAAAAAAUUGUUUGAUGUGUCAAAAACCCCAUUAGGUAUCUGUUUUCUUUUCCGGGAACAAACAAACAGUUUUGUGUCACCGACGAAAAGAAACAGACUUAUUUUUCGAUCAAAACAAAGCUAAGAUCCAGACCACAUGUUCUUAUGUUUCUGGAUCAAAACUAAGAAUAUGUAUGCAGAUCAACGGGAGCACGGGUCAAGCUAAGAAGCUUACUAUAGAAGAUCUGUUUAUGAGAACUCAUGCCCUAACACAACGGCUUUGGAGGAGAAGACGAACAGAGAACAUCGAAGAGGAUUUGAGAUAGUCGAAGUCUACAUGGAAAGUAUUUUUCUUAAUUAUUCAAUUACUUAUAGAAUUUGGUAGCUGUAUAGUCAUGUGGUGAUUAUGUUUCUUGUCAAAUUUCAUUUUGAGUGUUUGCUAAUUCAGCUAUUGGAGCGCCUUGAUGAAUUAAUCUGUCAUUGCUAGAAGAUUGUUCAUCCGCGGGCACGCGGAUAAUUUACUGAUUUUAGUUAUUUAUUUCUUCAGUUUCUUUGUGUGUAUAUUAAUUGGAAUUGGUAUAUCAGCUUCUCCAGAAAGUGCUGCAAACAUAGAAGCAGUUUAUUGGAGCUGUAGUGGAGUUGAUAGAUCGAGAAUAAUUAUCAGAGGAGUUUGAUGAGGUUGCUUUUACAGAGCAUCGUGUCUUUGGCAAGCCAGUGGAGGAGGAAGACAAUUAUUUUUAUGGGAAGAGCACUGUUGAAAAGAAGUAAGUACGGCUGGUUUUUAAUAUGUGUAUUUACUUAUUUAUCAGAGUUUCAGAGAUUACUCCAUGAAAAUGGACAACAAAUUUGUACUUUUCUAGUAUGUUGAGCGGUUGUUGUUUUUUUGUUUAUAAUGAGAACAUGUGGGCGAACGAACAACCACAAGCUGAGCAGAAAGAAGUUACUCUCCCACUCUGAGCAAGAGAAAGUAAACAACAACUCAGGGUUGGUAACUAUUAUUACUUAAUUGAUAUGAAAGCAAUGUAGUAUCAUGUAGAUAUAGGAAUAAGAUUGAACCAUUGCUUUACAUAGUUACAUAGUACUAUAUGGCUAUAUAUAUAUUGUCCACAUUAUCUAAUAAAAAAAUGGAGUUUACCCAUCA